UACGAAGGGGGCUAGCGUUGCUCGGAAUCACUGGGCGUAAAGCGCACGUAGGCGGAUUGCUAAGUCAGGGGUGAAAUCCUGGAGCUCAACUCCAGAACUGCCUUUGAUACUGGCGAUCUUGAGUCCGGGAGAGGUGAGUGGAACUCCGAGUGUAGAGGUGAAAUUCAUAGAUAUUCGGAAGAACACCAGUGGCGAAGGCGGCUCACUGGCCCGGUACUGACGCUGAUGUGCGAAAGCGUGGGGAGCAAACAGG
rnacentral:rRNA from 1 species